AGAGCAUGACGUGUCCAGCAAAGAGAGGUUCAGACCAAACCCUUGUGGGAUGGGCAGAACUGCAGAUCCUCCCUGUGCUUUGCCUUCACCUUGCCCAUGACAGCCCACUUCAGAAAAGCUGGGCACAGCCCUUUUCAGAUGCCCAGCAUCUUGUGCUCCCUGCUUUGCCUCUCUGAAGUGCUUUGGCUGAUUGUCAUAGAGACCCCCAAAUUGUCAUAGAGAGCUUUAGUGUCCCCAUGGCCAGUGUAUACUGCAGCAACAGCAAAACAGGUUCCCUGCCUUCCUCCAUCCUCUGCUUCUCUACAGCUCUUACAGAAGAAUUGUUGCCACUGGUGCUUUCUUCAGGCAGGGCACAUCUGAAGUUCUCGGUUCAAUAGCCACUUCUCCUUUGAGAGCUCUACCUCAGUCUAGCAGGCUGGGUUUUUUCAUUUUCCUGAGUGCUUUUUUUAGGUGGCAGUGACAUGGGAAGGAAAGAGAGGUUCAGUGCUGGAGAAAGGGAAAAGAUGGUGUGAGAGAGUCCCUUCCUCAGUGGUCCUGUGGGCAUGUGUAAUGGAGAGGAGUCAUUACAGGCCACCUCUUCCUCCCAUCACUCUGGAAGACAUGGAGAUGCUGAGCAGAGGCUGUUUGUGAGUGACACAGGUCACCUGCUUGGUGGAGGAAAUCCUCCCUGUGCAACCCUGAGAUGCAACAUGGCCAGCUAGAACUCCCACCACGGAUGAACAAAAAGAUGAACAUGUACAGUCUCUAAAGCAGUUCAAGCUGAGGUUAUUACUGCAGGCAUGAGGGUGCUAUUGGACACAUGCAGCCAACCUGUGCUACAGGAGCAAUAGUUUGGUCUCACUAGCAGAUGAAUCAGUGUGUUGUACAAUAUUGUACAUUAUUUAUGCAAAUAAAGAAUGAAACAGUCCUUUAUUUGACAACAGCAAUCUUGGGUGAUUCUGUGAAGAAAUUCAGGGAAAAUCAAAGUGUGUUAUUUUGACUACAAGCAAGCUGUAGUUCUGACUUGCUUCCAUCACUUUCAUAAGUAGGUUUUCAUUAAUUCAAAAAUAACCAGUCCAGUCAAACAGUGUGGGUGUUGGUCAGAAAUUCCUGAUUUCUCAUGUGUAAAUUCACCAUGUCAGACUCACUAAUGCCAAUGCCUG